AACGAGACCUUAACCUGCUAAAUAGUCAGGCCGGCUUUUGCUGGUCGCCGACUUCUUAGAGGGACUAUCAGCGUCUAGCUGAUGGAAGUUUGAGGCAAUAACAGGUCAACCUAUCACAGGCCUGUAAAAGCGGACCUCAAACUCCAGUUAUAUAUUCUUCUUGUUGGAACCGCUAGUCUAAAGUCUUAAUCUCUACUGGGGAAGUCCCCUGCUGUCGGG
rnacentral:rRNA from 1 species